AAGUCGUAACAAGGUUUCCGUAGGUGAACCUGCGGAAGGAUCAUUACCAAUAAUUUUAAAUUUCAACCCAUGUGCACUGUGAAUGUAUUGUCUUGGUUUUUGGGGUGGGCAUAGGUUCACCUCAACCAUUUUGUUAAACUACUGUUUAUAUUGACAUGGCAUCGUAAUUGUCUUAAUAAAUAUUAUGACAACUUUUAACGGUGGAUCUCUUGGCUCGUG
rnacentral:misc_RNA from 1 species